CUAUUUGAACCCAGGUCUGCAGAGGACAGCAGUGAUGACAUCAGGGCCCAACAUUUACUGUAAUUGGAGCUCAUAGGCCCGAUAGAUUUCUUUAAUUUCAUAUGAAGUUCACCAUCAACUCAAGGUCAGGAGAAAGGACCAUACUCGAAGACCCCUCUUUCAAAUGUUUUACUCUCCUUGUUUCCAGUGUUUGCAAUUGCAUCUCUCCUCCUCCCCUUCUCCACCUUCAGUCUAGUAUCUCAUAGGUUAUUCUGAGGAUCUCCUGAUGACACGACAAACACUAUUAAGUCCAUUCUAAUGAAUGAGAGCACACCCAGACAUGCUUCAGCUCAGCUUGUGUAAAAAGAGAAAAAGGUGCUCAACUGAGGAUUUAGAAAUCCAAAAAGAAACAUCUUACCCCAGGACCCUUCACAAGAUUACUAUCCCAGAAAACUGGUUGGUUCAUGAGUUGGACGUCAUAAGAGGUCAAGGACCACAGCAGGCAGGCCUACUUCUAUCCCUGCUCAACCCUGCUUUAUUUCGGCCUCGGAGAAGAUAGUGAUCCCGAUGCAGAGGAGGGUGCGCUCGGAGGGUAGAGUGGAGACAGGCGUCUCUUGAGUUGGAUGUGACCUGAUGUGACGUGGACUUGCGUCUGCCUCCAUGGAAUGCCAUUUUACACAUCAAGAACGGUCAAUAUUAACCUUAUUGUUGUGUUUUUCUUCASUUUUUAUAUGGUCUCUCAAAUUAUUUUUGUAACGACAAGCACUAUACAUAUUAAUUCUCUAUCAUUAUCGCUUGUCUAUUGUCAUUUAUCUUUCAAUCUAGUUAAUGUGGUGGCAGGUGUAGUGGUUUUUAUUUGGGUCCAACAAGGGGCUGGUUUUAGCAGUAAAUAUGAUUACUUGAAAAACUCAAUUUAAGUUAAUGUUUCUAACUAAGUUUCUGUGUGCAUCUGAACAGGGAAACUAAAUAUUGAGUUGAAGGGGAUGACGCUCAUUUCCUUUGGGUAGGCUUUUCAAUUAUUUUACAAAAUGACUGCAUCCAUAAAAAAAUAUAUACUUUCUUGUAAAAAAGCAGGAUGACAUCAUUAGAUGUGUUUUUAUAUAUCUAAAUCACAGUCAAUAACUAACUAGAUAGCUCUAAGCCCAUACAUUUGCAACAUUUAUCCAAACUCAUGGAUUCUAAUCAUAA